GACGAACGCUGGCGGCGUGCCUAACACAUGCAAGUCGAACGAAGUAUAUUUUUCGGAAUAUGCUUAGUGGCGGACGGGUGAGUAACGCGUGAACAAUCUGCCCUGUACAAAGGAAUAGCCUCGGGAAACCGGGAUUAAAACCGUAUAACACUUUUUGAUCGCAUGAUUGAGAAGUCAAAUUGAUUAAGAGGUAUAGGAUGAGUUCGCGUCUGAUUAGCUAGUUGGUAAGGUAAUGGCUUACCAAGGCGACGAUCAGUAGCCGGCCUGAAAGGGUGAACGGCCACACUGGAACUGAGACACGGUCCAGACUCCUACGGGAGGCAGCAGUGGGGAAUAUUGCACAAUGGGGGAAACCCUGAUGCAGCGACGCCGCGUGAGUGAAGAAGGUCUUCGGAUCGUAAAACUCUGUCCUUGGUGACGAAAAAAUGACGGUAGCCAAGGAGGAAGCCCCGGCUAACUACGUGCCAGCAGCCGCGGUAAUACGUAGGGGGCGAGCGUUGUCCGGAUUUACUGGGCGUAAAGGGUGAGUAGGCGGUUAUAUGUGUCAGAUGUAAAAGGCUAUGGCUUAACCAUAGUUAGCAUUUGAAACUGUAUGACUUGAGUGCAGGAGAGGUAAGUGGAAUUCCUAGUGUAGCGGUGAAAUGCGUAGAUAUUAGGAGGAACACCAGUGGCGAAGGCGACUUACUGGACUGUAACUGACGCUGAGUCACAAAAGCGUGGGUAGCAAACAGGAUUAGAUACCCUGGUAGUCCACGCUGUAAACGAUGAGUGCUAGGUGUUGGCCAGCGAUGGUCAGUGCCGAAGUAAACACAAUAAGCACUCCGCCUGGGGAGUACGGUCGCAAGACUGAAACUCAAAGGAAUUGACGGGGACCCGCACAAGCAGCGGAGCAUGUGGUUUAAUUCGAAGCAACGCGAAGAACCUUACCAAGGCUUGACAUCCCC
rnacentral:rRNA from 1 species